rnacentral:rRNA from 1 species
AUUGAACGCUGGCGGCAGGCCUAACACAUGCAAGUCGGGCGAGCGGCGGACGGGUGAGUAAUGUAUGGGGAUCUGCCUGAUGGAGGGGGAUAACUACUGGAAACGGUAGCUAAUACCGCAUACCAUCAGAUGAACCCAUAUGGGAUUAGCUAGUAGGUGAGGUAACGGCUCACCUAGGCGACGAUCCCUAGUUGGUCUGAGAGGAUGAUCAGCGACACGGGAACGAAGAAACGGUCCAAACUACUGCGGGAUGGAGCAGUGGGGGAUAUUGCACAAUGGAGGGAACUAAGAUGCAGCGAGGGCGGGUGAACGAAGAAUGCUUUCGAGUAGGAAAGUACUUUUAUAUGGGAAGCGUUACCAUAAGAAGAAGCCCCGGCUAACUACGUGCCAGCAGCCGCGGUAAUUC